rnacentral:rRNA from 1 species
UGGCGGACGGGUGAGUAACGCGUGGAAAACCUGCCGUAUACUGGGGGAUAACACUUAGAAAUAGGUGCUAAUACCGCAUAAGCGCACAGCUUCGCAUGAAGCGGUGUGAAAAACUCUGGUGGUAUACGAUGGUUCCGCGUCUGAUUAGCUAGUUGGUGGGGUAAUGGCCUACCAAGGCAACGAUCAGUAGCCGGCCUGAGAGGGUGAACGGCCACAUUGGGACUGGGACACGGCCCAAACUCCUACGGAAGGCAGCAG